CCAGCAGCCGCGGUAAUACGGAGGGUGCAAGCGUUGUUCGGAUUUAUUGGGCGUAAAGCGCGUGUAGGCGGUCUUUUAAGUCUGAUGUGAAAGCCCCGGGCUCAACCCGGGAAGUGCAUUGGAUACUGGGAGACUUGAAUACGGGAGAGGGUAGUGGAAUUCCUAGUGUAGGAGUGAAAUCCGUAGAUAUUAGGAGGAACACCGGUGGCGAAGGCGGCUACCUGGACCGAUAUUGACGCUGAGACGCGAAAGUGUGGGGAGCAAACAGGAUUAGAUACCCUGGUAGUCCACGCCGUAAACGAUGAGAACUAGGUGUCGCGGGUA
rnacentral:rRNA from 1 species